rnacentral:lncRNA from 1 species
CCCCAAGAAGAAGCAGAGGAUCUCCACGCUACUCUCCCCGUCACAGCAGAUCCCGUUCUCACAUAUCUGAAGAGAUGGAUUAAGAAUGCUUUGGAUUAAAGGAUUGUGGAGCACAUGUCAAUCAUUUUAGGAUUGUCAAAAGGAGGAUUGAGGAGGAUCAGAUCAAUAAUGGAGGCAAUGGUUUGGAUUGGAGAGGGCUCACUGGAUCCCAAUCCUUGGAGCUGGAUCAUUGGAUUCAAAUCAUAAUGUGGAUAGGAUAGGGAGGCUGAAUUACAAGGAUUCAUGGAGCGGGAUCAAAUUACCAGGAACAUAGGAGUGGAUUCCUGCCCCAACCAAACCGCAUUCGUGUGGAUAUUUUUUUUUAUUCAACUCAAUUGGCUAUUCCAAAGAUUUUUUUUUCCUAUUUUUGACGAUUGGAGCCCUUAAGAUGCACGAUGGAAUUUUUCAUUUUUUUGGUAAAAGGAGCAAAGCGAGGACCUGGAGAGGUACGCUGGAGCAAUCUCCUUGGAAGGAUUCAGCACGAGUAGAUGGAUGCUCAGGGAAGCAAAACUUCUUUAACAAGAGGAGACCUGAAGAAUUUGAUUUAACUAAACUUGGGAUUGGAGCGGGUUGCUCUCUGAGUGCAUACAGAGAGGAAAAGGUGUGAACUUUACGGAGGAGGAGUGAAGGAGUGCCUUACACCUGUAAACAGAGGGGGUUGCAUAGUGUYGUAUGUGAAAUACUGGAGCUUGGAUCCUGACACAGGAGAUCAAUGCCAAGCCAGUGGUUCUAAUCAAGUGCAUAAGGAGUUAAUGGACUGAAACACUAAUUUAAGGAGUGGUUCAGCUGACUCCCAAAGGAAGAUGGGGGAGUGUGUGUGCAAGCUGUAACGUUAAAGGUGUGAGCAAGGCUUCAAAAGGUCAAGCUUGGUCCUCCCAGCGUUCUGCAGAGCUCACAG